rnacentral:rRNA from 1 species
AACGCGAAGAACCUUACCAGGUCUUGACAUCCCGAUGCUAUUCCUAGAGAUAGGAAGUUUCUUCGGAACAUCGGUGACAGGUGGUGCAUGGUUGUCGUCAGCUCGUGUCGUGAGAUGUUGGGUUAAGUCCCGCAACGAGCGCAACCCCUAUUGUUAGUUGCCAUCAUUAAGUUGGGCACUCUAGCGAGACUGCCGGUAAUAAACCGGAGGAAGGUGGGGAUGACGUCAAAUCAUCAUGCCCCUUAUGACCUGGGCUACACACGUGCUACAAUGGUUGGUACAACGAGUCGCGAGUCGGUGACGGCAAGCAAAUCUCUUAAAGCCAAUCUCAGUUCGGAUUGUAGGCUGCAACUCGCCUACAUGAAGCUGGAAUCGCUAGUAAUCGCAGAUCAAAUGCUGCGGUGAAUACUUUCCCGGGUCUUGUACACACCG